rnacentral:rRNA from 1 species
UUUCCGGUUGAUCCCGCCGGACCCCACUGCUAUCGGGGUAAGGCUAAGCCAUGCAAGUCGAAGGUCCCCGGCUCCGGGGGCCUGGCAGACGGCUCAGUAACACGUGGCUAACCUGCCCUAGGGAGGAGGAUAACCCCGGGAAACUGGGGUUAAACCUCCAUAAGCGACAGGCUCUGGAAGGACCUGUCGCUGAAAGUGGUGUACGGGGAUGCUCCGUACACCAGCCCUAGGAUGGGGCUGCGGCCCAUCACGGUUGUUGGCGGGGUAACGGCCCGCCAAGCCUAUAACGGGUACGGGCCCUGAGAGGGGGAGCCCGGAGAUGGACUCUGAGACAAGAGUCCAGGCCCUACGGGGCGCAGCAGGCGCGAAAACUCCCCAAUGCCCGAAAGGGCGAGGGGGUUACCCCGAGUGCCACCCUCGUGGUGGCUUUUGCGGGGUCUAAAAAGCCCCGCGAAUAAGGGGGGGGCAAGACGGGUGUCAGCCGCCGCGGUAAUACCCGCCCCCCGAGUGGUGGGGACUAUUACUGGGCUUAAAGCGCCCGUAGCCGGCCGGGUGUGUCCUCCGUCAAAUCCACGGGCCUAACCCGUGGGCUGCGGAGGAUACUACCCGGCUUGGGGGUGGAAGAGGGCGGCGGUAUUCCCGGGGUAGGGGUAAAAUCCUCUGAUCCCGGGAGGACCACCAGUGGCGAAGGCGGCCGGCUGGAACGCGCCUGACGGUGAGGGGCGAAAGCCGGGGGAGCGAACCGGAUUAGAUACCCGGGUAGUCCCGGCUGUAAACGAUGCGGGCUAGGUGUUGGACGGGCUUAGAGCCCGUCCAGUGCCGCAGGGAAGCCGUUAAGCCCGCCGCCUGGGGAGUACGGCCGCAAGGCUGAAACUUAAAGGAAUUGGCGGGGGAGCACCACAAGGGGUGGAGCCUGCGGCUCAAUUGGAGUCAACGCCGGG